rnacentral:ncRNA from 1 species
AACCGACUUGGUCCUAGUCCUUUUCUUAACUUUUUCUAUAAUGAUACAUGCUAGUUAAUCUAACAACACCGUGAGUAUAAUAAGCACAAUAACUCUAAGUAAUUUAACUUUAAUGGUAUCAGAAUAAAAAUUCAAAAACACCUAGAUAAUCCACACCUGCAGUACUUAACAUUUUAUAAUAAGCAAAAGCUUGACAAAGCAAUAGAAAAAAGAAUUGGUAAAUUAUGUGCCAGCCACCGCGGUUAUACAUAAAAUUCUAGUUAAGAAAAAAACGGUCAAAACUGUGGUAAAAUUUUACUAUCUUCUCCUGAAAUAGAAAUAAAACUUUAGCAGUAAUAAGCUACACAGCUAUAUAAUUUCAAUUACGAAAAAUCAAUUUCAGAUUAUUGAUCCCACCAAAGCUCCAAAAUAAACUGGGAUUAGAUACCCCACUAUAUGAGCUAUAAAAUUAAGACAAACACCAGAGAACUACGAACUAAAGUUUAAAACUCAAAGGACUUGGCGGUUUUCUACACCUACCUGGAGGAGCUUGCUAUCUAACCGAUAACCCACGUAACACCUCACCAAUUUUUGAUUAUCAGCCUGUAUACCAUCGUCGUCAGUCUACCUUCCAAAAGUAGUAUACAUAAUGACCUUCAUCCUUACGCCAGAUCAAGGUGCAGCUUAUAAAUUGGGGAUAAGUGAGCUACAAUAAUUAAACAAAAAAUUUAACUAUGAAAAAAUAACUGAAAAACUAUUUUGAAAUAGAAUUCAGCAGUAACGGCUAAAUAAACAGAUAAUAACCGUGAAACACUAGCCCUAGAAUACGCACACAUCGCCCGUCACUCUCUUAUUAAAAAGAGAAAAGUCGUAACACAGUAGGCGUAUUGGAAAAUGUGCCUGGAAAAUC